rnacentral:rRNA from 1 species
CCUACGGGAGGCUGCAGUGGGGAAUAUUGGACAAUGGGGGGAACCCUGAUCCAGCCAUGCCGCGUGUGUGAAGAAGGCCCUCGGGUUGUAAAGCACUUUCAGUGAGGAAGAACGCCUGGUGGUUAAUACCCAUCAGGAAAGACAUCACUCACAGAAGAAGCACCGGCUAACUCCGUGCCAGCAGCCGCGGUAAUACGGAGGGUGCGAGCGUUAAUCGGAAUUACUGGGCGUAAAGCGCGCGUAGGUGGCUUGAUAAGCUGGUUGUGAAAGCCCCGGGCUCAACCUGGGAACGGCAUCCGGAACUGUCAAGCUAGAGUGCAGGAGAGGAAGGUAGAAUUCCCGGUGUAGCGGUGAAAUGCGUAGAGAUCGGGAGGAAUACCAGUGGCGAAGGCGGCCUUCUGGACUGACACUGACACUGAGGUGCGAAAGCGUGGGUAGCAAACAGGAUUAGAUACCCUUGUAGUC